AGAGUUUGAUCCUGGCUCAGAUUGAACGCUGGCGGCAUGCCUUACACAUGCAAGUCGAACGGUAACAGGUCUUCGGAUGCUGACGAGUGGCGAACGGGUGAGUAAUACAUCGGAACGUGCCCGAGAGUGGGGGAUAACGAAGCGAAAGCUUUGCUAAUACCGCAUACGAUCUCAGGAUGAAAGCAGGGGACCGCAAGGCCUUGCGCUCACGGAGCGGCCGAUGGCAGAUUAGGUAGUUGGUGGGAUAAAAGCUUACCAAGCCGACGAUCUGUAGCUGGUCUGAGAGGACGACCAGCCACACUGGGACUGAGACACGGCCCAGACUCCUACGGGAGGCAGCAG
rnacentral:rRNA from 1 species